rnacentral:rRNA from 1 species
ACAGCAGUAGCCGCGGGAAUACCGAGGGUGCGAGCGUUAAUCGGAUUUACUGGGCGUAAAGCGUGCGUAGGCGGCUAAUUGAGUCGGAUGUGAAAUCCCCGAGCUUAACUUGGGAAUUGCAUUCGAUACUGGUUAGCUAGAGUGUGGGAGAGGAUGGUAGAAUUCCAGGUGUAGCGGUGAAAUGCGUAGAGAUCUGGAGGAAUACCGAUGGCGAAGGCAGCCAUCUGGCCUAACACUGACGCUGAGGUACGAAAGCAUGGGGAGCAAACAGGAUUAGAGACCCCUGUAGUCCCUGUCUCUUAUAA